AUCUUGUGCAGAGUUUUUUGACAAAACAUCAAAUCAACCAGACCUCGUGGCUUGUCACUGAUCCCAGAGGAGUUAGGCAAAAGGUGCAAUGGAUAUGUUUCAGGAAAUGCAGCCUGGAUGAAAACACACAUGCACAUAGAGUAGCAGGGAGGCACUUUACAUACAAGGGCUAUUAUUAUACCCGUGAUGCAUUAAGACUCAGACAAGUGAAGUGUGUUGCCCGGGCUUCCAGGAUUUGGACCUGUCUCGGUGAGUCCAUGCCUUUUUUCACCAUAUACUUGACUGGUGAGUGAAGCCUGUGCUUCACAAAAGCAGGGGGAAAGGGAUUGCAUUCUUCUGGAAUGCG